rnacentral:rRNA from 1 species
AGGGUUUGAUCCUGGCUCAGGAUGAACGCUGGCGGUAUGCUUAACACAUGCAAGUCGAACGGGAUCUUAGGAUCUAGUGGCGGACGGGUGAGUAACGCGUGAGAAUCUGGCUUCAGGUCGGGGACAACAAUUGGAAACGACUGCUAAUACCGGAUGUGCCGAAAGGUGAAAGUUUUAUUGCCUGAAGAUGAGCUCGCGUCUGAUUAGCUAGUUGGUAGUGUAAGAGACUACCAAGGCGACGAUCAGUAGCUGGUCUGAGAGGAUGAUCAGCCACACUGGGACUGAGACACGGCCCAGACUCCUACGGGAGGCAGCAGUGGGGAAUUUUCCGCAAUGGGCGAAAGCCUGACGGAGCAAUACCGCGUGAGGGAGGAAGGCUCUUGGGUCGUAAACCUCUUCUCUCAGGGAAGAAAAAAUGACGGUACCUGAGGAAUAAGCAUCGGCUAACUCCGUGCCAGCAGCCGCGGUAAUACGGAGGAUGCAAGCGUUAUCCGGAAUGAUUGGGCGUAAAGGGUCCGCAGGUGGAACUGAAAGUCUGCUGUUAAAGAAUCUGGCUCAACCAGAUAAAAGCAGUGGAAACUACAGAACUAGAGUACGUUCGGGGCAGAAGGAAUUCCUAGUGUAGCGGUGAAAUGCGUAGAUAUUAGGAAGAACACCGGUGGCGAAAGCGUUCUGCUAGGCCGUAACUGACACUGAGGGACGAAAGCUAGGGGAGCGAAUGGGAUUAGAUACCCCAGUAGUCCUAGCUGUAAACGAUGGAUACUAGGCGUGGCUUGUAUCGACCCGAGCCGUGCCGUAGCUAACGCGUUAAGUAUCCCGCCUGGGGAGUACGCACGCAAGUGUGAAACUCAAAGGAAUUGACGGGGGCCCGCACAAGCGGUGGAGUAUGUGGUUUAAUUCGAUGCAACGCGAAGAACCUUACCAAGGCUUGACAUCCUGCGAAUCUUCCUGAAAGGAGAGAGUGCCCUCGGGAGCGCAGAGACAGGUGGUGCAUGGCUGUCGUCAGCUCGUGUCGUGAGAUGCUGGGUUAAGUCCCGCAACGAGCGCAACCCUCGUUUUUAGUUGCCAGCAUUAAGUUGGGCACUCUAGAGAGACUGCCGGUGACAAACCGGAGGAAGGUGAGGAUGACGUCAAGUCAGCAUGCCCCUUACGCCUUGGGCUACACACGUACUACAAUGCUACGGACAAAGGGCAGCUACACAGCGAUGUGAUGCAAAUCUCAUAAACCGUAGCUCAGUUCAGAUCGAAGGCUGCAACUCGCCUUCGUGAAGGAGGAAUCGCUAGUAAUUGCAGGUCAGCAUACUGCAGUGAAUUCGUUCCCGGGCCUUGUACACACCGCCCGUCACACCAUGGAAGUUGGUCACGCCCGAAGUCAUUACCCCAACCGAAAGGAGGGGGAUGCCGAAGGUAGGACUGGUGACUGGGGUGAAGUCGAAACAAGGUA